rnacentral:misc_RNA from 1 species
AAAUAGUUGCUUCGGAAAGUGAGAGAGAAGAUCUAGGAAACCCUAGAAGCAAAUAAAUGCCAUUUCGAUUGAAGAAAUCACUGAAUCGGAGACGGAAGGAUGGAAUUGAAACUUUUGAACUAGAUCAGUGGGGUAAAAAAUGGUCGCGAUUAAGAUUAUUGACAAGGAAUGAAUUAGGGAUUGGAUUACGAGACGGGAAAUGGGGUGGGUUCCUGAGCUAUUUGAGUCUCUGAUGGAGAGAGAGUACAAAAGCUCAGGCGAGGAAGUGACGACUUA